UGGAGAUGCCGCCGACAGCCC
rnacentral:siRNA from 1 species